GAUGAAGAACGCAGCGAAAUGCGAUAAGUAAUGUGAAUUGCAGAAUUCAGUGAAUCAUCGAAUCUUUGAACGCACAUUGCGCCCGGUAGUAUUCUGCCGGGCAUGCCUGUUCGAGCGUCAUUAUAACCCCUCAAGCUCAGCUUGGUGUUGGGGCCUGCUGCACUGGCAGCCCUUAAAAUCAGUGGCGGCGCCAUCUGGCUCUAAGCGUAGUAAUUCUUCUCGCUAUGGAGUCCUGGUGGAUGCUUGCCAUCAACCCCCAAUUUUUCUAUGGUUGACCUCGGAUCAGGUAGGGAUACCCGCUGAACUUAAGCAUAUCAAUAAGCGGAGGA
rnacentral:misc_RNA from 1 species